rnacentral:tRNA from 1 species
NAAAUUUUAGUAAAACAAUUACAUAGCCUUGUCAGAGCUAAACUACAGGUUUAAAUNCCGUAAAUUUCU